CGAAAAAGAUACUUCAUGCAAAUAUUAUAUGUUCUAUUUUUGACGCCCUAUAUGCAGAGAAGAAAUCAAAAGAAGAUAUUACGAAGAAUAAAAGAUAAUAAUAAUCGUGACUUCGUUGACCAAGACAUCGAAUCAUACGGUAAGUUAUUUGUGUGUUAUUUUUCUCUUUCACUUCGAACAUACUGACUUUUGAAAAAGCUUGGUUAAUAAGAGUAUGAAAUAAAGUUAUAAAGGAUUGCGCAUCGUGAUCGUCAAUCGUCCCUUUUCUGUUUGUCUUUGCCCACCCGCCGCCCGCCAAUACAAGUAUCAGACGAACUGUGUUACUGGACGAGUGGAACGCAGCUGACCAGAUCUUACAUCAUUUCUUCGUGUACAGCGCCCACUGCAACAAUGACUGAAAUAAGGAAGGACCUACCAAAACACCAUGUUUAAUAGUUUUGGGGAAUCCAGACUGUAUGCAAGCAGAUACAUGCUGUCUAUUGAUGGUGUUAUUGUCAACGAGGACAUUGCCACAUUUGCUGCUGGUCUUGCUAUGCUGUUUGCAAGCUACUACAACUUGAACAUCAUGUACCCUGCAGAAUGUGCAUCUACACUGAAAUCAU